rnacentral:rRNA from 1 species
AGGAUGGGAGAGGUCAACGGAAUUGCCAGUGUAGUAGUAAAAUGCAUUGAUAUCGGCAGGAACACCAAAAGCGAAGGCAGUUGACUGGAACAUUCCUGACGCUGAGAGACGAAAGCGUGGGUAGCGAAAGGGAUUAGAUACCCCUGUAGUCCACGCCGUAAACGAUGGAUGCUAGGUGCUGGAAGUUUCGACUCUUUCAGUGCCGGGUAGUCAAGCUAACGCCUUAAGCAUCCCGCCUGGGAAGUACGGCCGCAAGGCUAAAACUCAAAGGAAUUGACGGGGACCCGCACAAGCGGUGGAGCAUGUGGUUUAAUUCGACGAUAAGCGGAGAACCUCACCAAGGUUUGACAUCUCUGGAAGUUUUUAGAAAUAAAAAUGUGCCUUCGGGAACCAGAUGACAGGUGCUGCAUGGUUGCCGUCAGCUCGUGUCGUGAGAUGUACGGUUAAGUCCGGCAACGAGCGCAACCCUCGUCCUAUGUUAUAUUUUUCAUAGGAGACUGCCAGCUUUAAGCUGGAGGAAGGUGGGGACGACGUCAAAUCAGCAUGGCCCUUAUACCUUGGGCUACACACGUGCUACAAUGGGUAAGACAACGGGCAGCUAAGCCGCAAGGUGUAGCGAAUCCCUUAANCUUAUCCUCAGUUCGGAUUGAGGUCUGCAACUCGACCUCAUGAAGUUGGAAUCGCUAGUAACCGCGAAUCAGCCACGUCGCGGUGAUACGUUCUCGGGUCUUGUACACACCGCCCGUCACGCCAAGAGAGUCGGUAUACCCGAACUAUGUU